GCCUCAGCCUCCCAAGUAGCUGGGAUCACAGGUGUGUAACACUGUACUCAUAGCAGACGAUGUUUAAAAACCCAGACAUAUCACAGACUUUUGCAUUUUUUUUUAAAUUUAAGAUUUUAAUUUUAAAGUCUUUCUCUUGGAAGAAGUCAGAGAACCCUUGCUGUCCCUGCCAAGUCAUACACAAAGCAUUGAUUUCUUCCUCCAGUGUAGACUGUGCCUGUCUUAUGUGUUCCAGGGUGGAGUUAACAGCAUGUACCAUGGGAUCCAGGACUAUGACAAAGACCAUGCCCGAGUGCACCUUGUGAUGGAGAAG
rnacentral:lncRNA from 1 species